GGGCCCGUGGUGUAAAGGGAGCACAAUAGCCUGUCCAGCUACAAGGUGCGGGUUCGAGUCCCGCCGGGUCCA
rnacentral:tRNA from 1 species